rnacentral:rRNA from 1 species
AGAGUUUGAUCAUGGCUCAGAUUGAACGCUGGCGGCAUGCCUUACACAUGCAAGUCGAACGGCAGCACGGGGGCAACCCUGGCGGCGAGUGGCGAACGGGUGAGUAAUACAUCGGAACGUGCCCGGAAGUGGGGGAUAACGUAGCGAAAGUUACGCUAAUACCGCAUAUUCUGUGAGCAGGAAAGCAGGGGAUCGCAAGACCUUGCGCUUUCGGAGCGGCCGAUGUCGGAUUAGCUAGUUGGUGAGGUAAAAGCUCACCAAGGCGACGAUCCGUAGCUGGUCUUAGAGGAUGAUCAGCCACACUGGGACUGAGACACGGCCCAGACUCCUACGGGAGGCAGCAGUGGGGAAUUUUGGACAAUGGGGGAAACCCUGAUCCAGCCAUGCCGCGUGAGUGAAGAAGGCCUUCGGGUUGUAAAGCUCUUUCGGACAGAAAGAAAUCGCAUCGGCUAAUACUCGAUGUGGAUGACGGUACUGUCAUAAGAAGCACCGGCUAACUACGUGCCAGCAGCCGCGGUA